AACUAACUUUAAAAUAUUUUGUUCUAGUUCUGUGAAGAAUGUCCUUAGUGAUUUGAAAGGGAUUGCAUUGAAUCUGUAUAUUGCCUUGGGUAGUAUAGUCAUUUUGAUAAUAUUGACUCUUCCAAUCCAAGAACAUGGUAUGUCUUUCCAUCUGUUGGUUUCAUCUUUGAUUUCUUUCAUCAGUGCUGUUGAAAGUAUAGGUCUUUUGUCUCUUUAGGUAGGUUUAUUCCUAAGCAUUUUAUUCUUUUUGAUGUGAUGGUGAACUGGAUUGCUCCCCUGAUUUAUCUUUCUGAUCUUUCAUUGUUAAUAUAUAGAAAUGCAGUUGAUUUCUGUGUAUUAAUUUUGUAUCCUGCAACUUUGCCAGAUUCGUUGAUGAGCUCUAACAGUUUCUGGUAGAGUCUUUAGGAUUCUCUAGGUAUAGUAUAAUGUCAUCUGCAAAGAGUGACAGUUUUAUUUCUUCCUUUCCAACUUGGAUUACUUUUCUUUCUUUUACUUCUCUGAUUGCUGUGGCUAGGACUUCCAAAGCUAUGUUGAAGAGUAGUGGCUAGAGCAGACAUCCUUGUCUUGUUCCUGAUCUCAGUGGGAGUUCUUUCAUCUUUUCACCAUUGAGAAUGAUGUUAGCUCUGGGUUUGACAUAAAUGGCCUUUAUUGUGUUGAAGUAGGUUCCCAUUAUGCCCACUUUCUGAAGGGUUUUUAUCAGAAAUGGGUGUUGGAUUUUGUCAAAGGCUUUUUGUGCAUCUACUAAGAGGAUCAUAGGGUUUUUAUUCUUCAGUUUGUUAAUAUGGUGUAUCACACUGAUUGAUUAGCAGAUAUUGAAGAAUCCUUGCAUCCCUGGGAUAAGUCCCACUUGAUCGUGGUGUGCAAUUCUUUUAAUGUAUUGUUGCAUUUGGUUUGCUAGUAUUUUGUUGAGGAUUUUUUGCGUCUAUGUUCAUCAGUGAAAUUGGCCUGUAGUUUUCUUUUUUUGUGGAAUCUUUGUCUGGUUUUGGUAUCAGGGGUGAUGGUGGCCUCAUAGAAUGAGUUUGGGAGUGUUCCUUCCUCUGUAAUUUUUUGGAAUAAUUUCAGAAGCAGAGAUGUUAGCUCUUCUCUAAAUGUUUGAUAGAAUUCACUUGUGAAGCCAUCUGGUCCUGGACUUUUGUUUGUUGGAAGUUUUUUAAUCACAGUUUCAAUUUCAGUUCUUGUGAUUGGUCCAUUCAUCUUUUCUACUUCAUCUUGGUUUAGUCUUGGAAAAUUGUACUUUUCUAAGAUUUGUCCAUUUCUUCCAGGUUUUCCAAUUUAUUGGCAUAUGGUCACAUAUAGUAGUCUGAUAUGAUCCUUUGUAUUUCUGUGAUGUCCAUUGUAACUUCUCCUUUUUCAUUUCUAAUUUUAUUGAUUUGAGUCCUCUCUCCUUUUUUCUUGAUAAGUCUGACUAAGGGUUUAUCAAUUUUGUUGAUCUUUUCAAAGAACCAGCUUUUCGUUUCAUUGAUCUUUUCUAUGGUUUUCUUCAUUUCUAUUUCAUUGAUUUCUGUUCUGAUCUUUAUGAUUUCUUUCCUUCUGUUAACUUUAGGUCUUGCCUGUUCUCUCUUGAGCUGCUUUAGAUGUAAAGUUAGCUUGUUUAUUUGAGCUUUUUCUUGUUUCCUGAUGUGGGUUUGUAUUGCUAUAAACUUCCCUCUUAGAACUGCUUCUGCUGCAUCCCGUAGGUUUUGGAGUGUCAUAUCUUUGUUGUCAUCUGCUUAUAGGUAUUUUUUAAUUUCCUCUUUGAUUUCUUCAGUGAUCCAUUGGUUGUUUAGUAGCAUGUUGUUUAGUCUCCAUGUUCAACCUUAAAUUUAAAUGAAAAAUUAAGUAAUCUUAUUAUUUUUUCUUUUAAGGAUUCACAGCUUUCUCUUCAAGUAGAUAAUUGGUCAUACUCAGGAAUACCCAACCAAAAUUGCAUUAUUUCUGCUACAGGGACAAUACUCAAGUCUGAAGCUGUGAGUCAAAUGAAAUCAAAACAAAAGCAAACAAAAGUCAGAAAAACAUCUCAUUAGAAGUCUGCUGAAAGAACAAAUUUCAAUUCUGUUGUAAGAUUCAUUUGUGGAGAAUAUUUAUAGUCUCUAUUUCUAAAUCCAACUUUAUAAAAGAAAGCAAAUACUCUACUCCCAGUAGUACUUUUUUUAAAUCAGAGACACCUUAUCCUCAGGUAACUUAUAGUUAACGAGCUUCUAUCUCUCAUACUUCAUCUUGUUCAGAGCUCUGGGCAGUCAGUGUUUGGGUUUUGCCUCUUACAUGUUUUCUCCCUGGAAAUCUAAUUGUUGGAAGAAACAUGCAAAGCCAGUACAUUGUACUGUGUAGAGAUUUCAUUAUUGAGCCAUCUUGUGAAGAAUAUUGGAGUCUAUCUUAAAUUUUGUAGAGCUAACACAUAAAUGGAACACAGAGAAUGGAAAAAUGGAGAACAGGUCAGUGACUGGUUUAAAAAUAGCAAGUAUUCCCUCACCUGGUAGCCCUGAACAUUCUAGAGGUGAAGAGAUUGUGUGUUUCUUGUGGGUUAUAAUUGUCUGGGUUAUAAUUCAAGAAUUGUUAGUACUAAAGAGAGCUCAAAAGGUCCAUUUUUGUACUCACUGUGAAUACUUGGUCCUGGGAGGGUAUUCAUAAGCCUGGUUUGGCGAUCGGUUUUUGUGAUUAUCUGUGCUUCAAACCCAAACCAGGGCUCUGAAGGAGAGCUUAUAUGAGGUCACAGAAGGCAGCAGCAGCAGGAUCUGUCCCAGGCACUUGGGGCUCAUUUGUAUGGAUGCACUGAUGCUAUGGGAGCUGCAUACAUCAAAGCUGCUGCAGUCCCUAUCACAGAGCCUCAUGGAAAACGGGAUUGUUCUGCAGCUUUGCUUUCCCAUCAGAGUUCCACUUCAUAAUCUAAUGCCCUUUAACUAGAGAGGAUCUGGGACAAAGAGAGCUAAAUGUACAAAGCAAAGAACAGUUUAAGUACAGCGCUCAGAAAUCAUUGGCAGCUUAGGGUAAGAUAAAGUCCCACAGUGGUAACAAAUCAUAGCAUCUUAGCUCUGGCAGGAACCUUGAAAGGUCAUGCAGAUCAUCUUCAAAACUUAAACCAUUUCAGAUGUAUAAGAACUGAUUCUAUGUUUUAGGACCUCCAGAAGGAAAAUUACACAGCUCGCUUUGAAACAUGUUCUGAUAUAUAGUACCUUUUUCACUGUUUUGUAAGUUCAUUCUUCAGUGAACCCAGGUCAGUCCUAUUGCAGUUAAAAUUAAUUUUUAUCUGUUCAUUCUUUAGUGGAGAUGUGUAAUGACUAGUCAGUAUCCAUUAUGUAAAAGUCCCUUAAGAUCAGCCAUGGUUAAUUUGUACCUCCACUUUCUUUUCAGUAACAAAAAUCUGUUUCCUUACAUGUUUUUCUAUGGCCUGCUUUUUUUUUUUAGCCUCUUACUUAUUAUUGCUUUCAACAUCUCCUCCAAGUUCUCCAUGUCAGUCUUUGGUUAUAAUGUCUGAACUGGAUCCAGUGCUGUAGAAAUAUCUGAUAAGUACUUAAUACAAUGAGAAACUCACCUCAUGAUUCCUAAAUACAGUGUUUUUUGCUUUACACAGUGGUGUGAGACUGUAAAAAUGACUAUGCAGGCUGAGUUUGGAGCAUAGGGGUCUUAAUAAUCAGUGGGAAAAUAAUGGUACAUAAACAUAUGUCAAAAUUUUUAAAGCACUAUUCCUGUUAGUUAUACAUGUAUAGAGAAAUUAAAAACACAGUCAACCUAAUACUAGUAUACCGUGGUGUAGGCCAGCAGCUGCAGUUCCAAUUCAACCCCUAGCCCAGGAACUUCCAUAUGCUGCAGGAAUGACCUUAAAAAGAAAAAAAGAAAAAACAAAACAAAACAAAACAAAACUAGUAUACUGUAAUUUAAAACAUUAAGAAUUUAAAUGUUUUAUUUCUUUGUAAAAAACUUAUCCAGAGUAGUCUGAAUAGUGCUUGCCUUCUUGUCAUAUAACUUACCAUAUUGGGCACACGUCCCUUCUGUGCCUUGGUGUUUUGUCAUACUCCUUCCUAAGUUUGGAAUCAGCUUCCAACAUUUUAUCCUUUGUGCUAUCAAUGUCAUGAAAUAGCUCCAAGAAUUCCUUUAAUGUGCGGUUUUUGCCAGCAUCCCUUCCUCUGGGACAUCUUCCUCCUUUUCAUCACAACCACUUUCCUCAUUAUGGUGAUUAGUUUGCCUUCCCUGAGUUCCUCUGGUGCAUAUCUAGUCUCUCGAAUGGCAGCAGUGUCAACAAUUCCACGCUUAACUGUUUCUUCUGUAACUGUUUACAUUCCAGCAUUAUGACUUUUUUAUUCUUUGUUGGCCAAUUCUCUUUAUCCAUUAUUGGGUUUAUCACUGGAAGAUAAGCCCACCAGACACUUUAUUGUUUGUGUGUAAACCUGAAUAACAGAUUCAUAGUGACCAGUCACCAACAGACUUUGAAAGAAGAGAUGUGAUUUGUCACUGAUCAUGUGAUCACAGUGCACAUCUGUUAUUUAUAAUGUGAUUUUUGAAUGAAGAGCUAGCAGUGAAAUUUGUACCUUUAUGCAGUUACAUCUACUAUCCCAUGGCAACAGAAAUGUGAACCCUGUUUUUGAAGGACUGGUGUUUGUUUAGCUAUUAUAAUGGGAAUUUUCGUGUUUCGGAAUCAUGCCCAAUGAGGAUGGCCUUAGUCAAUUCUUACAUCUACCCCCAAGUCUGUGCCCAUUUCUAGUUCCUGGUCAGUUUGUCAUCUACUCUAACUUUAGGUCUUUUUCUGACAUAAAGCUUUACCAACCUCAUCUUAGAAUUUUCUUUCUUCAUCAGGAGUACCACGUUAGGUCUUUCCUCUUAGAUCUUUAUACUUUUGGUUUCCACUAUAAAGUACCCAUUUAGUCUCUAAAGUUUCUCUGGAAUAUUGAUUCCAUUCCCAAGUUUACUAGCAUCUGCAAAUCAAAUAGACAUUUCCCAACUCAUUUACAUGAAUACUAAUUAUCCUCACAGAAUGCCGGUUAUACUGAUUGCCUCCCAGGUUGACCCAGCCAGCUCGGUGUUAUCUUUUUGGUCCUACAGUUUAAUCAGUUCUGUUAGCUUAAGGCCAGUGGUUCCCAGUUCUGGUUCAUCAUCAGGAUCUUCCAAGGAGCUUUGCAAACCACUUCCCAAGCCCUGUGACGGUCUGCAGAGAGGCCUUGAAAUCUAUAUAUUUUAAUGCUCCCAUGAAAUCAGCUAGGUUUGGUCUAUAAUAUGAACCAUGUUCUCCUCCUUCUUAGUAACUUUAUCAUAGGCUAGUAGAACUUUAGAAUUGAUAGAUGUAUUAGAGACCAUUUUUCCAAACCUACUGAAAAGUAAGAAAAGUAAGACCCAGAGAUGCUAAAUGAUUUGGUCAUGGUCUCAGAAUUUCAGACAGAGUCAGGACUAGAACCCAUGUUUCCAAAUUCUGAACUUAGUACUCUUUCUACCUAAUUUCCAUCAUAUGGAACACAGAAUUAUUGACUAUCAACUUUGAGCUCUCCUGGAGUGAUCUUUUUUCCCUCAGGUAUGAAUGUAUCUGUGCAUUAACUUCUGAGGAGAGAUGCCCCAAUAGGAUUCUCUAUAGCACAUGGGUUAUAGUGGUUAAGGCAAGGAUUUUUGAUGGAGUAGGUGCUGCAGGCCCUGGAGAAGCUCUGGGAGGCUCAGUUCAGUCCUGCUCUGGUGCUUACUCUCUGCCUGCUCUGUGCCUGCCCAAGCUGCUGCCUCUGAUGUACUUAGAUGUCUGUUUGAGUUGUACACAGUGUUUGUUUCCAGAGGCUGUUUGUAUAACUACACACACUGCCUGACAGGAGAGGAGGAAGGCGGGGUGGGGUGGUGAUGUCCUAUUCUGUGAAGCUUUUUCUAUUUCAAUGAGACAUUGCUUACAACUAAACUAAGACUCUAGCCUUCAGGUUUGCUGACAGAGGAAAAUGAGUCUGUCUGUAAUACUGAGAGAAAAACUAAGAAGUAAAGCCUAUAUUCCUUUGAUAUGUUUUAUGUGUUCAUGAAAAAUGAAUGGGGAAUGCUGAAUAAAGUGUAUGAACAGUUAAUGUUUACAUACUGAGCUCAGCAUCAAAAAUAAAAACAAAAACAAAAUUUGUCUACUUCCUAAUCUCCCUGAGCUCCCUGUCACAGACAAUGGUGUUUGAAAUGCUGAUGUGUCUAGUAGCCAUUUUAAAGGAGAAGCUUCAUAAUCUUUGGAGCUGAAAUCCAGGGACUUUUUAUAAAAGAUCCCUCCUCUCAAGCACAUGCUGCCCUCCACCCAGGCCUCCUACUAGGCCCUGGAGGGUGAAAGAUAGUGUUUCACUGAAUCAGGGCAUUUUAGAGCUGGAAGAGGCAUUAGCACUCUGCUGGAGUUCCAAGUUCUUGGUUUUCUCCCGAGACCCCGAAUGGUCAACAAACUUGGCUUCAGUCACACAGCCAGUUUGGAGCUGGACUUGACUAGAGCUCAGGUCUUCUGACUCCUGGGCCAGUGUGGUUUUGACUGCAUCAUGUUGUACAUAAAAACAUUUUCAGACUUCUUUUAAUGUGAAAUUCUAGUGAUUUGGCAGUUGUGAAUUUUAGUGGCUAUGUCAGACUUUUAGAGGGGAUAAAACUGCUUUCUGGGUUCCAAUUGGAAUGAAUCCAACUAGUAUCCAUGAGGAGGUAGGUUCGAUCCCUGUCCUCGCUCAGUGGGUCAGGGAUACAGCAUUGCCAUGAACUGUGGUGUAGGUCACUGACAUGGCUUAUAUCCCAAGUUGCUGUGGCUGUAGUAUAGGCUGGCAGCUGUACCUCCGAUUCGACCCCUAGCCUGGGAACUUUCAUAUGGUCCAAGUGUGGCCCUAAAAGGCAAAAAAAAAAAA
rnacentral:lncRNA from 1 species